UAAGGAAUAUUGGGCAAUGGACGCAAGUCUGACCCAGCCAUGCCGCGUGAAGGAUGACGGUCCUCUGGAUUGUAAACUUCUUUUAUCUGGGGCGAAAACCACCCUUUCUAGGGUGCUUGACAGUACCAGGUGAAUAAGCACCGGCUAACUCCGUGCCAGCAGCCGCGGUAAUACGGAGGGUGCAAGCGUUAUCCGGAUUCACUGGGUUUAAAGGGUGCGUAGGCGGGCAGGUAAGUCAGUGGUGAAAUCUUCGAGCUUAACUCGGAAACUGCCGUUGAUACUAUCUGUCUUGAAUUUAGUGGAGGUAAGCGGAAUAUGUCAUGUAGCGGUGAAAUGCUUAGAUAUGACAUAGAACACCAAUUGCGAAGGCAGCUUGCUACACUAGUAUUGACGCUGAGGCACGAAAGCGUGGGGAUCAAACAGG
rnacentral:rRNA from 1 species